UACGUAGGGGGCUAGCGUUGUCCGGAAUCAUUGGGCGUAAAGCGCGCGUAGGCGGCCCGGUAAGUCCGCUGUGAAAGUCAAAGGCUCAACCUUUGAAUGUCAGCGGAUACUGCCGGGCUAGAGUCCGGAAGAGGCGAGUGGAACUCCUGGUGUAGCGGUGGAAUGCGCAGAUAUCAGGAAGAACACCGACGGCGAAGGCAGCUCGCUGGGACGGUACUGACGCUGAGGAGCGAAAGCGUGGGUAGCAAACAGG
rnacentral:rRNA from 1 species